CAAGCGCGUAUAUUAAAGUUGUUGCGGUUAAAAAACUCGUAGUUGGAUUUCAGUCUAGGAAGGUUAACUCGCCGAAAAGUUGUACGUUGAUUUUCCUCAGACUUCGUCAGAAGCUCGUGCUGCACUUAACUGUAUGGUACGAUGUUCUGACCUUAUAUUUUCAAGAAAGUAGAGUUUUUCAGGCAGGCUACCCAGCUUGAACACAUUCGCAUGGAAUGAUGAAAUGGAUUUCGGUUCGAUUUCGUUGGUUCUAGAGCUGAAGUGAUGAUCAAUAUGAACAGGCGAAGGUAUAAGUACUUGAGAGUGAGGAAUGAAAUCCGAUGAUCUCUUCAAGACGAUCCGAGGCGAAAUCAUUUGUCGAGGAUGUUUUCAUUGAA
rnacentral:rRNA from 1 species